UCUACGGGCAAUAUGGAGGGAGAUAAUUAUAACUCGUGCAACAUGCAAACAGUUGCUGAGGUCGUUGGGUCUUAAUACUCCCUUUAUGUAUUAAAAAGGGAAUUAGAUAGAGUGGGCGAUCCAUAUUGACCAGGCAUUUCUUGUGCCUAGCUCUUUCUUUGCAACCAAACCUUCAAUUAAUUUGUCUCAAUUCUCACAAGAAAGAACAGCGUUAUCUAUCAUGAAUAGUAGCAAUGCAUUUAGAAGAAUGGUGGCGGCCUGGUGGGUGUAGUUGUGGUCUUGAUGGAAGUUCUUUGGAGUGGAAACCGCGAUGAGCCACGGCCUGAAAUGAUGAACUGAAUAUAUAACGGGAAGUUCGUCAACCCCCUGCUCUUGAAGCUGUUCACAAAUUCGGAGUGCAGUUCAAUCCUCGCCAGUGCCUCUGCUCUCUGUUCCUCUCUGGGCGUCGCCAACUAAUCAAACACUUGCAUUUCUGCAGUCUCUCCCGGGGGCUUUUCCAUCGAUAGAUGGGGGCUCGUCUGAUGGAAUCGGCGUCGAAGUUAUCAAAGUCACCCCCUUUUCCUGUGUCUUAAUUGUCGCUAAAUUGUACUUUUUCAUGAGCAAAUGGUUGCAUAAAUGUUGCAAGA